AAUGAUAGGGGAGAGGGUUUAUGAGCGGCGGGGGCCGACGUUUGUCAGAGGCUUCAGACUUGGGAAAUUCGAGGCGAUAACGGGGGGCGAAAAGCGACAUGGUUUAUGGUCUAAAUCAGCAGAAGAACUCGAGAACGCCGGCGGUGGCGGGGGGGAAAUUUACGAGCAUGUGAAUGCGAGAGCCGUACGGAAGCGACGGCACCCGCAAGCAUAGUCUGCUCGGUUCGCUGUCGGCAACGAAAAGGGCUGAUGGCGCUACUUCGCUGCUUCUUCCGCAGAGCGCAUCAGUGACGCAUAUUGAUUGCCUUCUUCUUCCGUCGCGGAGACGAGGAAGAGAUCGGAGAUGAAGAAGAAAGAGAUUAAAAAAAAAAUUGUGAGAAAGGAAGAUCGCAAACGGAAGAGAUCGAUCCCGAAACUCGCCGCUUCUUCGGAGAACAGAGCACGGCAUGGAGCAGGAACUCCAUGGCUUUUUUA
rnacentral:lncRNA from 1 species